ACCCCCGGGGUGAGUGAUAGAUCUCUCUAGCCCAGCAUCAAGCCUACAUCUGCCACUUAUGGAAGAGGCUUCCUUGUUCUUGCUCAUCUCCAUGUCUGCUCAAUUUUGCUUUUCUUCUGAGGAUUAAACCAGUUGGCUGCUUCCCAGCACAAGUUCCUGCCUAGGAGAUGUAUUCCAGAUGUGGCAUUUUCCUUAGGGAAGGACACCACAGUCCCCAUCGAUGGAAAAGGUAUGUCAGGGUGUUUUGUCUGAAAGAAUAUAUCGCAUUUUCAUGUGUGUCCUGCUCUGCUAAUGCUAAGUAUGCCUUCCAUACCUAGGAGGACCUCCUGAUGGAUGAAUACCUACCCUGGGGGUGAAGGUGGCGCCUCCCCCCAGGCUCCUGGCAAGUGGUUCUUACAGGCCUGGCAGAGACACAGAAAGGAAGGCUCAUAUGUCCCGUUCAAGACAGCGUCAGGAUGAUGGAUGGGCGCUAUCCUGGAAUCUGCUCUUUCCUCUCGUGCUGGUGCUUCCCAGUGCUCUCUGCAGAAGAGGACCCUGGAUCUGAGGAAGUAGAUUGGGUCUUGGAGUCCAGCACCAUCCGAUUUCUCCUGAGUAGCACUCCAGGAACAGUGGCAAGGAUGGUAGCCAACAUCUUAGAAUCAUCAACCUUGAUGACAAAGUUCUACGCACCAGGACUUCCUGGGAUCCUGAGGUAGAGGGGGUUGGGGCUGGAUUCCUAUGGUGAUGAUAAGUACUGAGCCAUUCCUCUCUGCUCUGGGACGCCCCUACCCUACGCCCGUCCUCUCCCAGGCCAAGACAGUAUCUCCCUCACCCACCACCCCUCCUGCCUGCCCUUCAGCAUCCCUUAACACUCAGACACACUGCUGGAACAAGCAAGAGCUCACCCGUGGUACCUGAAAAGAAGUUGCCCAUGUUAUUUUUCGCUUUUAUUUGUGACGAAACAAACAUGGUGCACUUCUUUUUCGAUAUCAAAUCUCACCUUGGAGAGCUCCCCGUGGAAGAGAGGGAGGGAAGGGUUCGAGGGGUUUUGGGUCACCUGUUACUUUUCUCCAUGUGCACGGGAGCAUUUACCUCAAAGAAGCACAAUUUCCCCUACUCUCCCUGCCUUGGCUCUGUGUGUUGCUAGGUCCAGAGAUCCUUAGUGUCUGAAUGCCCACUUCCUGGGACAGGUAUAGUCAGUAAGGGAAACCAGGAAGCACACUCUUUUGUAGGCUGGAGUUCAGAUAAGAGAAGCCCAGAAAAUUAUAAAAAUCAAAGGACAGCAUUAUAAUCAAACAGCCAGUUCAAGCCAACCACCAUUUCCCUCUGACGACAAGUGUCUAGAAGUCAGCUGCAGGUGUCUGCACCAAGACUUACCUGUCGGUGAGUGUCACAUACACUAUAACUCUAGAAAAGACUGGGCCCCCACAGCAGCCUUUCUCAGUAACCUCAAUGUCUCCGUGGCCAUCAGCAAGGCCUUGAGGACUGUGGGUGCUGGCCAUGAUGGGGACCAGGGAACAGCACACCAUCAUCAGUCACUGCUGUUUGUCUCUGAUCACCGAAGUUAGUCCCCCUACCCCGUGAGCUAUCCUCUGGAGUGGGUGUGAGGCACCCCUGAAAACCCCUUUUUCCCAGUAGACUCAUCUUUAUGGCUAACCUCCUCUGGUAGCCUCCUCCUUUGAGUGUGGCUGUUUGAGCAGGGACCCUCGGUGGCUCUCUUGAGAGAGU